CGUGAGUACAGUGGCGUACGGGUGAGUAACACGUGGAUGAUCUACCCUGGAGUGGGGAAUAACGCUGGGAAACCGGCGCUAAUACCGCAUAAUCCCGAGAGGGCAAAGGAGCAAUUCGCUUCAGGAGGAGUCCGCGGCCGAUUAGCUUGUUGGCAGGGUAAAAGCCUACCAAGGCAACGAUCGGUAGCCGGCCUGAGAGGGCACACGGCCACACUGGCACUGAAACACGGGCCAG
rnacentral:rRNA from 1 species